rnacentral:lncRNA from 1 species
UGCCGAUGACGGCGCCGUAUCGGUCCUCCUCGUCGUAGUCGGCGGUGACCCGUAAGCCGCGUUCUUCCUGGACGUGAACGUUGGUGGAGCCCUGCGACAUGAUCUCCCGAGCGAUGCGGUCCGCCUCAGCCUCGGAGAUGCCCACGGCGUUCUUGUCGAUGGACGUGGUGUAGAGGUUCUCGUCGAAGGUGGUGUCGACGUUGAACUUGGACUUGUUCGCGGCGAACUGGUCCCAGCCGCCGGCUCCGGAUUGGCCGGACCCGCCCCAGCCGCCCUUGCC